UACGUAGGCAGCAAGCGUUGUUCGGAAUUACUGGGCGUAAGGAGUGUGUAGGCGGUGCUCUAAGUCUGUUGUGAAAUCUCCCGGCUUAACUGGGAGGGUGCGGCGGAAACUGGAGUGCUCGAGGGUGGGAGAGGUAAGCGGAAUUCCUGGUGUAGCGGUGAAAUGCGUAGAUAUCAGGAGGAACACCGGUGGCGAAGGCGGGUCUCUGGGCAGUAACUGACGCUGGAGGAGC
rnacentral:rRNA from 1 species